GGCUCGGUAGCUUAGUUGGUAAAGUGCUCGUCUAGCAUACAAGAGUCCUGGGUGCAAAUCUCAGCCGAGCAU
rfam:Aedes aegypti strain Liverpool supercont1.93 genomic scaffold, whole genome shotgun sequence.